rnacentral:rRNA from 1 species
GACGAACGCUGGCGGCGUGCUUAACACAUGCAAGUCGAACGGAAAGGCCCUGCUUGCAGGGUGCUCGAGUGGCGAACGGGUGAGUAACACGUGGGUGAUCUGCCCCUUACUUUGGGAUAAGCCUGGGAAACUGGGUCUAAUACUGGAUAGGACCAUGCUGUAGGUGGUGUGGUGGAAAGAUUAGUUUCGGUAAGGGAUGAGCUCGCGGCCUAUCAGCUUGUUGGUGGGGUAAUGGCCUACCAAGGCGUCGACGGGUAGCCGGCCUGAGAGGGUGGACGGCCACAUUGGGACUGAGAUACGGCCCAGACUCCUACGGGAGGCAGCAGUGGGGAAUAUUGCACAAUGGGCGCAAGCCUGAUGCAGCGACGCCGCGUGGGGGAUGACGGCCUUCGGGUUGUAAACUCCUUUCAGCCAUGACGAAGCCCUUGUGGUGACGGUAGUGGCAGAAGAAGCACCGGCUAACUACGUG